rnacentral:rRNA from 1 species
GGAUACGGGUUGUGAGAGCAAUAACCCGGAGAUGAUAUCUGAGACACGAUAUCAGGCCCUACGGGGCGCAGCAGGCGCGAAAACUUCACAAUGCGCGAAAGCGCGAUGAGGGGAUCCCAAGUGCUUGCACGUAAGUGUAAGCUGUUUUUCUGUCUAAAAAGCAGAGAAAGUAAGGGCUGGGUAAGACGGGUGCCAGCCGCCGCGGUAAUACCUGCAGCUCAAGUGGUGGCCGCUAUUAUUGGGCCUAAAACGUCCGUAGCCGGCUGAGUAAAUGCCUGGGUAAAUCGUGCCGCUUAACGGUACGAAUUCCGGGUAGACUGCUUAGCUUGGGACCGGAAGAAGUUAGAGGUACUCCUGGGGUAGGGGUGAAAUCCUGUAAUCCUGGGGGGACCACCAGUGGCGAAGGCGUCUAACUAGGACGGGUCUGACGGUGAGGGACGAAGCCCUGGGGCGCAAACCGGAUUAGAUACCCGGGUAGUCCAGGGUGUAAACGCUGCUUGCUUGAUGUUAGCUGGGCUCCGAGCUCGGCUAGUGUCGGAGAGAAGUUGUUAAGCAAGCUGCCUGGGAAGUACGGUCGCAAGACUGAAACU